AUCCUUUUCUGGUUCAUAACUUGAUGAUUGGGUGUUCAGACCACUGUAUGAGAUGUGCCUCCCGUAAACCUUGUUAUGACGUCGGCACGUUACCCUUCUGUUG